CUUCAAAGUCGACUGGCAUUCAUCUACGACCUGUAAACUACAAAAAAAAAUAUAAGAAUGAUCACAAAGCUUCGAUUUUGAUCCAACUAAUUCUUAUCUGAGCAAACAUUUUGACCCUAGAGAAUGAUUUUGAAUGAAAAUAAGAAGAUAUCUAUACACACAUGUUUUUUUAAAGAAUUUUAGGGGCUGAGAAGCACCCCCAAGACAUUCAUUUAACCACAAAGAACUGUACAAGAGAGGGGCAUAAACCUGACCUCAAAUUGUGUAACAACAUAUAAGGAAUGAAACAAACAGUAUACAAAUACCAGUAUGCUAAACCUACUAUAAAAUGCUUAUGUCUUCUUCCCAGCUACCGCCUUGUACUAUGGUGGAUUAUGUAUCUUGUUCACCUUCCUUCUCCUGAAGCUUGGCAUGUCCAUUCUAUCUAGCUGAUAAUAACCUGCUAUAGCUGAUGGUAGUUGACAACUAUGGAAAUAAUGUUGUGGCUGGUCAAACUGAUGGCUCACUUUUGACAAUACAUUUGCUACAAAGUUAGCUUCUCUGUAUACAUGUCUAUAAAUACAAAGCUAAAAUUAUGCAAUGAUCUUUAGUAAGGACUCCACAAGAGGUUGCAGGUGUCAAGGUAUAGUCAUUUGGGUCCUUAUCCAUCUGACCAAUAGUUCAGAAUCCAAUUCCAACAUUACCUGCUGAACACCAUUGCUCAAACACCAAGAUAAUCCCCAUAUAGCAGCUUCCACCUCUGCUUGGUUAUUAGUCUCUUUUCCCAAAGAAGCAACAUAUGCAUAGAUGAGAUCACCAUUAUGAUCUCUAAUAACCUCCCCUGCACCAAUCCUUCUAGGGUUAGAUAGAUCACUACCAUCAGAGUUCAAUUUGAUCAUUGAAGCUGGUGGCUUAGUCCAAUAUACAGUGGUAAAUUUUGUCCCUUGUCUACACUUCUCCACAUAAGCUGACAGGUUGGACCAUCGAAAAGGCCAGUGAAUGUAAGGAAAUACAUUAUAUAGCAGGAGAGAGAUAUCUUUGUAUAUGAGAAAUUUGACUCUAGCUAACUAGGGUUGUUUAUCACCAUAUUUCACAGCACAUCUAUUUUUCCAUAGAUUCCAGCAAAUGAUAAUUGGGAGAGCCUGAAGCACCAGCUUAUAAGCCCUAUUGGAUGCUUUCAUGUUCCACCAUUUCCUCAGCAGGUUCUUGAUUGAUGUAAAGACAUGUGUAAUUCCCAUAGUUGAAGAGAAGUAUAUCCAUAUAUGAUUAAGAAAGGGACCCUUAACAAAUAUGUGAGAAAUAUUAUCCCUGCCAGAGUUAAGAUAGCAACCACAUCUGAUAGAGGUUAUACUAAAUUGGCAAAACCUCUCAUUGGUAGGGAAUUUUAUUCUUAGAGCUCUCCAUAUAAGAAAGGAGCAUUUGAAUGGGAUCAUGUUGUGCCAGAUAUGACUAUUCAGUAUUGUUAUCUCCCUGUGCUCUCUGGUCAGUUGAACAGUUGAACUCACCACUUGGGCUUAGAGUCCAAAUUGGGAAGUCAGGAAUCCCUUCCUGAUACUGGAUUGGAGUUCUGAGAAUAAAUUAUACUACUUGACUGGUAAGAAUAGUAGACAACUUCUGAAGAUUCCAUACAUCAUCAACUAAGAAAGUUGACACUUUAGAAUUACUUGAAUUUACACCAGCGGGUCUAUAGUUAUUUAGUGCUCCAAAACCAGACCAGUUGUCCCACCAAAAGUGAAAAGUACCUGACCUGAUUCUCUAUAAAAUAUGCUGUUCAGCAUCUCUCUUAUUCUUCAUCAUAGUUCUCCACAUCAGAGAUUGUCUAGUGGACCUUUUCCUGGCAACAACAUGCAUUCUCUUGCAAUAUUUGGUUAAUAAUAAUUUCCCCCAAAGAGUGUUUUUGCUUUUGAAUAUCCAUCAUUGUUUUGAUUUGUAGAGUCUUACAUGUAUCAGUAAUAUGUAUAACACCAAUACCACCUUCAGUAGCCAGGAAGCAUAGCUUCUUCCAUGAAGCCCAGUGAUACUUCUUCUUAUUAUCCUUUUAACCCAGAAGAAAUCAGCAAACAGAUAGAUGAGUUGUUUUAUAAUAGACUUUGGAGGUAUGCAGGCAGAAAGAAUGUGAAUUGGCACAGACUGCAGGACGUGUUUAAUCAGCACACUUCUACCACCAUAACUAAGUAGUUUUGAAUGUUAUCCUACUAUUCUUGAAGCCACACUACUAACCAAACCAGCAUAGUGACUAAUUUUCUAUCUUUCAAUAUAAAUGGGACAACCAAGGUAUGUAAUGGGGUUGUGAUUUUGCUGAAAUCCAGUUUCAUCUAACCCUUGAUACAGUGAAAGGAAAGGCGUGAUCUCGCAGCAUGAAAUGACUCUUGUUCUUAUUGAUCAUUUGGCCAAAAACUAUUUCAUAAAAAGCCAAUGUCUUCAUAAUCAGUUUGAGAGGGUUUCUUCUACCAGUACUGAAGAUGAUGAUAUCAUCUACAAAAGUGAGAUGGUUAAUCUGGGUUCCUCUCCAAUCCAUGUGAAAACUAUGAUAUUGAGGCUGGUGAUUAAGUUGUUGAGGGCUCUUGAUAAAACUUCUACCCCUAGAAUGAAUAGAGCAGGGGAAAAGGGAUCCCCCUACUUCAAACCCCUUAUAGAGUAGGAAAAACCAUAUCUAGUACCAUUCACCAAGAUUGAGUACUAAUUGUUGGACAAGGUUCUCCAUAUCAUGUCAAUAAUGGGUUCACCAAAUCCAAACCUCUUUAACACCAGACAUGUAUAUGACCAAGACACCCUCUCAUAUGCCUUGGCCAUGUCUAAUUUAAUGACAGCAUUUCCUCCUACAACUAGUUUCUUGAUGUUACUAAUGAUAUCCUGAGCAAGCAUGAUAUUUUGUGCAAUGUUUCUUCCUCUCACAAAGCCAUAUUGGUUCGUAGAAAUAAUGUUGGGAAGGAUAGGGGCUAUUUUGAGGUAAAUAAGUUUAGAGAUGACUUUAUUGGUAAAUUUUCUCAAGCUGAUUGGUCUAAAUUCAGAUAGUUUGUUAGGAUGUGGCACUUUAGGGAGAAAGAUUAGAUAUUUAUGAGUGAAAUAUUCAAGUAAAUCCUGACCACAAAAGAAAGCAAGAACCAUUUAGAACAGAUCCAUACCAAUAAUAUGCCAGCAGGAUUGGAAAAAUUUACCAUUCAUACCAUCAGGGCCUGCUGUUGAAUGGUUACUCAUUGAGAAAACCGCAACCUUUACUUUCUCCAUAAUAGGGAUAGCCUAAGUUUCUCAUUCUGAUCAUCUGUUAUCAAUUUAAGAAUAUUAAUAAGCAUUUCCUCAGGCACAAACUCUGUUGCUCUUAUAAAGAUAUCCUGAAAAUAUUAAACUACAGCUGCAGCUAUAUCAGUAUCCCUUUGAAUCUAAGCCCCUUCCUCAGUCUUGAUUUUAUGUAUAAACAUUUUUUCUUUUCUACCUCUGAUAAAGGCAUAAAAAUAACUGGAGUUGGCAUCACCAUACUUGAACCAAUGCAGCUGAGAUUUCUAUCUUAAAAUAACAUCCUCCACUUUGAGGUGUCUAAUAUACUCAGCUUGUAUUUUGUGAAAUUCCAAUCUGUUUUCAUCAUCACCAUUCAGGAUUAAGAUUUCUUCAGCAACCUUGACCUUUUCAUCAUAACUUUUCACAUUGGCAUAUAUGUCACCAAAAACCUUUUUAGACCACUUACUUAGAGUAGAAGUUAGUUUUUUCAUUUUUAGGUGAAAUCUCCACAUAGGUGUUCCCUCAUAGGGUGAUUGCUAGAAAGUUUCCACAGUGGUAAGAAAUGUGGGGUACUCCACCCAACAGUACAAGAAUUUGAAAUAUUUAGUCUGUGCUUCCACCCUUUUAUGUAUUUCUAACAGCAAAGGGCAAUGAUCAGAUCCCACAGAAGACAAGUGAGUAAUGUUAGUCAUUGGCAUAUCUCUCAACUAAUCAUCUGAUACCAUAGCUCUGUCCAAUCUUUUUUAUAUUCUAAAUUAAAUAUAUCAUAGAUUGGACUGAGUAAACUUAGGACCAUUGAAACCCAAGUCAGACAAGUCACAAGCCUCAAUCACCCCUAAGAAGUCAAAGCUCUUCCUCAUAUCAUAUGGGAUGCCUUCCAUUUUUCACUAAAUUCAAUAUUCACAUUGAAAUCUCCAAUAGUGCACCAAGGUAAAGUUGUUGUAAACAUUUGAACCAGCUUAGUCUACAAAGGUCUUCUAAGUGUAUCUCUGCACUUAGCAUAAACAAAAGUCAUUAGAUAGGAUUGAUGCAAAGCAGAAUGCGUAAUAGAGCAUGUAAUCUGCUGAUCAUCAAUAGUAAUGAUGUCACAAGAGAUAUUCAUGGACCAAAAGAUCCAAAUUUUGUCAUUAGAGUUGCACAGGGCAUGCUCCAUCUUAAGAUUUCUUUUGGCAGUUUCCAGAUGAAUAUUAUUGGAGAAAGGUUCCAGGAUUGCAAUCAGAGAGAUAUGGUGAAUAUUUGUGAGUUGUUAAAGUUUUUCCAGAACACCUUGGGUAAAUAUACCCCUUGUAUUCCAAACAUGAUGACUGAUCAAUUGAUUAUUUUAUGGGAAAGAGAUCGGUAAGAGGUCUAGUUGUGUGCCCAUUCAAGUUAGCUACAGUAUGCUUGGUUCUUUUCCUUGAAUUUCUUAAAGAUCCCCUGGGAAAUAGUCCAUGUUGGUUGGCCAAGUGAGUCGCUUCUUUUGCAGAUUUCUCUUGAUUACCGGGGUCAAAUACAUCAUACACAAUUUCUUUAGUCUUCUCUAAAUGACUCAAGUUGAUUUCAUCAGUCUCGUCUUUAGAGUUUAUUACUCUAUACUCAUUAUCAAGAUCCUUGAGAAACCUCUGGGGUUCUCUUUCUUUGGCAUUAGAUUGCUCUAUCACCUGUUCAAAGUUAUGGGUGGCCUCAUGUAACAAAGCGGAAGCAUAACCCCUAAUUUCCAUUUCCUAAGCAGGCAACUAAUCUUGUAUCUGUUCAAAGAUCAUAUUCUUAGGGUUUGAUACCCCUACAGGAUUCACACCUCAUCGGGCAAUGCACUGUCUUAAGAUCUAUCCAGCUGGUUCUCCUUAUUAAAAUUAGGUAUUGGACCGCAUAGCAGUUUGUAGAUAUGUCUUACUGGUUGGACGCUGUGGAGAUCGAGGUAGUGACGGAUGGACUUCAAGCUUACCCGAAUCUCUUUCUUAUUAUCUUGUGGUUACUUUCACAUACAAGAUAUCUUAGUAUACUUUUUAUAAAUCUAUAUUAAUGGCUUGUAUUAGUAAAAAUCAGAUCCGGGGAUGUAGCAUUAAUAUUAUUUCUUCGUUAUUUAUAUUUUUGGAU